rnacentral:rRNA from 1 species
GAUGAACGCUGGCGGCGUGCUUAACACAUGCAAGUCGAACGGGAAACCUUUUAUUGAAGCUUCGGCAGAUUUAGCUGGUUUCUAGUGGCGGACGGGUGAGUAACGCGUGGGUAACCUGCCCUAUACAGGGGGAUAACAACCAGAAAUGGUUGCUAAUACCGCAUAAGCGCACAGGGCCGCAUGGUCCGGUGUGAAAAACUCCGGUGGUAUAGGAUGGACCCGCGUUGGAUUAGCCAGUUGGCAGGGUAACGGCCUACCAAAGCGACGAUCCAUAGCCGGCCUGAGAGGGUGAACGGCCACAGUGGGACUGAGACACGGCCCAGACUCCUACGGGAGGCAGCAGUGGGGAAUAUUGCACAAUGGGGGAAACCCUGAUGCAGCGACGCCGCGUGAAGGAAGAAGUAUCUCGGUAUGUAAACUUCUAUCAGCAGGGAAGAUAGUGACGGUACCUUACGAAGAAGCCCCGGCUAACUACGUG